CCUACGGGUGGCAGCAGUAGGGAAUAUUGCUCAAUGGGGGAAACCCUGAAGCAGCAACGCCGCGUGGAGGAUGAAGGUUUUCGGAUUGUAAACUCCUUUUGUUAGAGAAGAUAAUGACGGUAUCUAACGAAUAAGCACCUGCUAACUCCGUGCCAGUAGCCUCGGUAAUACGGAGGGUGCAAGCGGUACUCGGAAUCACUUGGCGUAAAGAGCGCGUAUGCGGGAUAGCAAGGCAGAUGUGAAAUCCUAUGGCUUAACCAUAGAACUGCAUUUGAAACUGUUAUUCUAGAGUAUGGGAGAGGUAUGUGGAAUGCUUGGUGUAGGGGUAAAAUGCGUAGAGAUCAAGAGGAAUACUCAUUGCGAAGGCGACCUGCUAGAACAUAACUGACGCUGAUGCGCGAAAGCGUGGGGAGCAAACAGGAUUAGAUACCCGAGUAGUC
rnacentral:rRNA from 1 species